rnacentral:rRNA from 1 species
AGUGAACGCUGGCGGCGUGCCUAAUACAUGCAAGUCGAACGGAGUGGCGCACGGGUGAGUAAUGUAUAGCUCAUCUGCCCUACACUAGAGGACAACCGUUGGAAACGGCUGCUACUACUCUAUAGUGUAGGAUGAGGCGAUAUUGUAUCAGCUAGUUGGUGAGGUAAUGGCUCACCAAGGCUAUGACGAAUAACUGGUCUGAGAGGAUGAGCAGUCACAUGGGAAGUGAGACACGGUCCAGAAUACUACGGGAGGCAGCAGGAGGGAAUAUUGCUCAAUGGGGGAAACCCUGAAGGAGCAACGCCGCGUGGAGGAUGACACGUUUCGGAGCGGAAACGCCUUUUGUUAGGGAAGCGGUACCUAACGAAUAAGCACCGGCUAACUCCGUGCCAGCCGCCGCGGUAAUUC